GGGUUAAGUCCCGCAACGAGCGCAACCGUUAUCUUUUGUAACCAGCGGUCCGGCCGGGAACUCAAAGGAGACUGCCAGUGAUAAACUGGAGGAAGGUGGGGAUGACGUCAAGUCAUCAUGGCCUUACGACCAGGGCUACACACGUGCUACAAUGGCGCAUACAAAGAGAAGCGACCUCGCGAGAGCAAGCGGACCUCAUAAAGUGCGUCGUAGUCCGGAUUGGAGUCUGCAACUCGACUCCAUGAAGUCGGAAUCGCUAGUAAUCGUGGAUCAGAAUGCCACGGUGAAUACGUUCCCGGGCCUUGUACACACCGCCCGUCACACCAUGGGAGUGGGUUGCAAAAGAAGUAGGUAGCUUAA
rnacentral:rRNA from 1 species